CUUUUACUGAGUAAUGCAAUAAUAAAUGGUGAUUUUUCAUUUUAGACUACACUUUGACUGAGUUGCUGGCAACCACCUCAUCGAAUGUCGACUAUACACCUUCCGGCAACAGAAAAACAUUUGACUUAUCCGUCAACGACAAAGGCUUUCCUACCGAAAUGAAUGGCUCUGCUGAACAAGUACUGAAAGGUAUGUGCUAAUUGUAUGUUCCAUUUCUUAUUAUUGUAUAAUCAUUUUAUCAUUUUCUUUUCUUUUUUUCCCAAGACAUCACCAAAAACAAGUUGAUCAAAAUGACAGCUGAAGUUUUGGCUGAAAUAAGGCAGUUUCAACAAGAGGUUAAAUUUUUAAAAGCAGAGAUUACUACGCUCACAACCACCUUGAGUGUCCAAAGAGAUGACCUUCAGCCUCAGCAGAGAGACUUUCCAUUCAGUCUUCCACUGAACACAGACGAAGAGUUUGAUGUAGUCGAGGCUAUGAGGGACAACACAAAUCGUCGCAAAACGGUUUCACGCCUGGCCCUCGUUGGAGGAACAAGCAGUCAAAGCAUGAUCAGGCGCAUGCUAGCCAUGAUUAUGACCAACAGUCUGGCCUGUUUAUUCAACUGGAAAGGGAAAGGCCAAAAGAGGGCCUUCAAAGAGACCAAUUUGCAGGAUUGCAUGUUUGGUGAGUAAGACUCUACUGCCACCUUGCAUAGUCUUUGUAUGUCGUUUACCUUUGUGUAUCAACAUACCCUGCAUGCAACAGCAAAGCACCUCAUAUAAUUGAUAUUUUGAAAGUGCAUUGUUUGAGGAGGAUGUGGAAAGGGUGGUCUUACUCAAGGGUUGUUUGCAUGCUUUCUACACUACAGCUUGCUCAUGGCACAAUGUCAGCCAUGUUGAUAACAUAAAAUUAAAAUAUAGAAGGAAUUAAAAAUUUGUUUGCACCAAUGGGUCACUAUAUACUCUGUUAAAUUAUUAAACAAAUAUUGCUUUUUUUAAAAACUUUUUUUCCCCACACAUUUUUCUUUCAAAGUGGUUCAACAAAUAUUAAACAAUACCAGCUCAUACAUAUUAAUUAUUGGCCCUGAGCUGGAUUAUAGCUUUAAGACCAAACUGGCCUAGCUCUUGUCCAGUUCAAGUCAGAGUCACUGUUGUCUCCUCAGCAGGACACAUUUGGUUCAGUCUAUAUUGUCUUGCCCCAAUCAUAUUUAAACAUUUGGGGCGGGUUUAUUAGUUGGGAAGGGUAUUGUCAAGGAUUUAUCAAUACUCUAUCAAUACUUCUUAUCAGUGCGGUACUAUAACAGUACUGUUAUCGAUACUUUUAAAUUUAAAAAGAAUAUUUGUUAUGCUCUGAGUCUACAUUUAAAAUUAUUUAUUUCCAAAUUAAAUUUAGCAUUUAUAGUAAUUAUCAAGCAUAAAAUACAAAUACAGGUGUAAACCAAAUACCAAAAAGAAUUGAUUUCACAGUCAUACUUGUGUUAUUAUGAUACAUAAUUUUAUUUUAUUGUACAUCAAAUAUGGCUAUAUUUUUCAGAGGGUCUGUGAAACAUAUAGCCACAUAUUUUUUACGGACCCCCAGAGGUCCCCGGACCCCUGCUUAUGUACUUUGGCAUUGUGUAACUAAUGAUUGUCUUCAGUUAGGAACCCAGUCGCUGUUAGCAGGACCGAGCGGGCCGUAUCAACGACAUCUUACAGCCAUCAAGAUCAGGAUCCUCUGUCUAUAUGCAUGAAUGGCUAGCUUGGUGUCACUGCAUGCUUAGCUAAUUUUCUAGGUGCUGUCCCCUGUGGCUCGACGUGGUUGGCCUUGACCCCCCGGCGGUACUCGGUUUGGGCGGUCGCCGGGUGGCAGCGGGCGCCGGGGGUCGUGGGGGGUUGUCGGUGGCGUCGUGCGGGGUGGCUGCUUCCGUGGGGGGGCGUAGUGGGCGAUUCGGCUCGGUCGGGCGCUCGGUUUGGACGGUCUCCGGGUCGCCAUUUGUGAUUAAAAACGUCGCGGGUGGUGGCCUGGCGGCUGUCUGGGUCGGGCGCCCGGUCGGGCUGGGCCGCCUGUCGUGUUUCCUUCGUGGGGGCGGCCGCUUUGUGUGGUGUCAUCAGCCUCCCGUGGUUCCCGGCGCUCGUGGCGGCCUGGCGGCCGUCUGGAUCGGGUGCUGUCCCCAGGGUCUCUGCAGGGUCGCGCAUGCGUCUCGGCCGUCUCCCGGUGCCCGCGGGGGGUGCUGUGCUGGGGUGUUGCCCGGGGGGCUUGGGGUGGCGCUGUUCCAGCAUGGCCUGUUGCUCUUC